rnacentral:rRNA from 1 species
UCGAGCGGACAGAUGGGAGCUUGCUCCCUGAUGUUAGCGGCGGACGGGUGAGUAACACGUGGGUAACCUGCCUGUAAGACUGGGAUAACUCCGGGAAACCGGGGCUAAUACCGGAUGGUUGUUUGAACCGCAUGGUUCAAACAUAAAAGGUGGCUUCGGCUACCACUUACAGAUGGACCCGCGGCGCAUUAGCUAGUUGGUGAGGUAACGGCUCACCAAGGCAACGAUGCGUAGCCGACCUGAGAGGGUGAUCGGCCACACUGGGACUGAGACACGGCCCAGACUCCUACGGGAGGCAGCAGUAGGGAAUCUUCCGCAAUGGACGAAAGUCUGACGGAGCAACGCCGCGUGAGUGAUGAAGGUUUUCGGAUCGUAAAGCUCUGUUGUUAGGGAAGAACAAGUACCGUUCGAAUAGGGCGGUACCUUGACGGUACCUAACCAGAAAGCCACGGCUAACUACGUGCCAGCAGCCGCGGUAAUACGUAGGUGGCAAGCGUUGUCCGGAAUUAUUGGGCGUAAAGGGCUCGCAGGCGGUUUCUUAAGUCUGAUGUGAAAGCCCCCGGCUCAACCGGGGAGGGUCAUUGGAAACUGGGGAACUUGAGUGCAGAAGAGGAGAGUGGAAUUCCACGUGUAGCGGUGAAAUGCGUAGAGAUGUGGAGGAACACCAGUGGCGAAGGCGACUCUCUGGUCUGUAACUGACGCUGAGGAGCGAAAGCGUGG